rnacentral:misc_RNA from 1 species
GAUGAAGAACGCAACGAAAUGCGAUAAGUAAUGUGAAUUGCAGAAUUCAGUGAAUCAACGAAUCUUUGAACGCACAUUGCGCCCGCCAGUAUUCUGGCGGGCAUGCCUGUUCGAGCGUCAUUUCAACCAUCAAGCCCCAGGCUUGUGUUGGGGACCUGCGGCUGCCGCAGGCCCUGAAAACCAGUGGCGGGCUCGCUGUCACACCGGGCGUAGUAGAUUUUAUCUCGCUCAGGGCGUGCUGCGGGUUCCGGCCGUUAAAAAGCCUUUUUUACCCAAGGUUGACCUCGGAUCAGGUAGGAAUACCCGCUGAACUUAAGCAUAUCAAUAAGCGGAGGA